GAUCAUGGCUCAGAUUGAACGCUGGCGGCAUGCUUUACACAUGCAAGUCGAACGGUAACAGGUUAAGCUGACGAGUGGCGAACGGGUGAGUAAUGCAUCGGAACGUGCCCGGUCGUGGGGGAUAACGCAGCGAAGGCUGCGCUAAUACCGCAUACGACCUGAGGAUGAAAGCGGGGGACCGUAAGGCCUCGCGCGAUCGGAGCGGCCGAUGUCAGAUUAGGUAGUUGGUGGGGUAAAGGCUCACCAAGCCGACGAUCUGUAGCUGGUCUGAGAGGACGACCAGCCACACUGGGACUGAGACACGGCCCAGACUCCUACGGGAGGCAGCAGUGGGGAAUUUUGGACAAUGGGCGCAAGCCUGAUCCAGCAAUGCCGCGUGCAGGAAGAAGGCCUUCGGGUUGUAAACUGCUUUUGUACGGAGCGAAAAGGUCUUUCCUAAUACGGGAGGCUGAUGACGGUACCGUAAGAAUAAGCACCGGCUAACUACGUG
rnacentral:rRNA from 1 species